rnacentral:rRNA from 1 species
UACGGAAGGCAGCAGUGGGGAAUAUUGCACAAUGGGCGCAAGCCUGAUGCAGCCAUGCCGCGUGUAUGAAGAAGGCCUUCGGGUUGUAAAGUACUUUCAGUCGUGAGGAAGGUGUUAAGGUUAAUAACCUUAGCAAUUGACGUUAGCGACAGAAGAAGCACCGGCUAACUCCGUGCCAGCAGCCGCGGUAAUACGGAGGGUGCGAGCGUUAAUCGGAAUUACUGGGCGUAAAGGGCACGCAGGCGGUUAAUUAAGUUGGAUGUGAAAUCCCCGGGCUUAACCUGGGAAUGGCAUUCAAGACUGGUUAGCUAGAGUCUUGUAGAGGGGGUAGAAUUCCAUGUGUAGCGGUGAAAUGCGUAGAGAUGUGGAGGAAUACCGGUGCGAAGGCGGCCCCUGGACAAGACUGACGCUCAUGUGCGAAAGCGUGGGGAGCAAACAGGGAUUAGAUACC